AUACGGAGGAUGCGAGCGUUAUCCGGAUUUAUUGGGUUUAAAGGGAGCGUAGGUGGGAUAUUAAGUCAGCUGUGAAAGUUUGGGGCUCAACCUUAAAAUUGCAGUUGAUACUGGUUUCCUUGAGUACGGUAUAGGUGGGCGGAAUUCGUGGUGUAGCGGUGAAAUGCUUAGAUAUCACGAAGAACUCCGAUCGCGAAGGCAGCUCACCGGGCCGGAACUGACACUGAUGCUCGAAAGUGCGGGUAUCAAACAGGAUUAGAUACCCUGGUAGUCCGCACAGUAAACGAUGAAUACUCGCUGUUUGCGAUACACUGUAAGCGGCCAAGCGAAAGCGUUAAGUAUUCCACCUGGGGAGUACGCUGGCAACGGUGAAACUCAAAUGAAUUGACGGGG
rnacentral:rRNA from 1 species